rnacentral:rRNA from 1 species
GGUUAAGUCCCGCAACGAGCGCAACCCUUAUCCUUUGUUGCCAGCGGUUAGGCCGGGAACUCAAAGGAGACUGCCAGUGAUAAACUGGAGGAAGGUGGGAUGACGUCAAGUCAUCAUGGCCCUUACGACCAGGGCUACACACGUGCUACAAUGGCAUAUACAAAGAGAAGCGACCUCGCGAGAUCAAGCGGACCUCAUAAAGUAUGUCGUAGUCCGGAUUGGAGUCUGCAACUCGACUCCAUGAAGUCGGAAUCGCUAGUAAUCGUAGAUCAGAAUGCUACGGUGAAUACGUUCCCGGGCCUUGUACACACCGCCCGUCACACCAUGGGAGUGGGUUGCAAAAGAAGUAGGUAGCUUAACCUUCGGGAGGGCGCUUACCACUUUGUGAUUCAUGACUGGGGUGAAGUCGUAACAAGGUAACCGUAGGGGAACCUGCGGUUGGAUCACCUCCUUACCUUAAAGAA